GACCUCCUCUCAAAUAAGAUAGAAGGAAGACUCUGUUCUUCCAGAAACCUCCGGAGACAGAUACCCACCAGACCAUCAAGAGCCUCUUGCCAUUGAAUACUUCUUAUCACCCAAACCACUAAACCAUGAAGCUUUACCCACAUGUCUACCUCUUAAAGUUUGUCAACUAUAUUAUUAUUUCAUACUUGUUGGUGUCGUCAACCCUAAGUGAAUAUUCAAUCAUUAUCCACUUGAAAUGGACGAAUGAACACAUCUCAAGGUUCUUCUGUUCAUGUUGCCUUUACUUGCGUUUUGGGUUUUUAUUCUGGUUUCACUCCUAGUAGAAUAAUGAUUUACUAAUUAAAGAGAAGAGACGAGAAGAGGAGUCAGAUGGUGGUGGCACACAUCUUUAAUCCCAAUACUCUGGAGGCAGAAGCAAGUUGAUCUCCCAGUUCAAGGGCAACCUGGUAUAGAGUGAGUUCCAGGACAGCCAGGGUUACACAGAGAAACCCUGCCGAAAGAAAGAAAAGAAAAGAAAAGAAAAGAAAAGAAAAGAAAAGAAAAGAAAAGAAAAGAAAAGAAAAGAAAAGAAAUAUGGUGUUACUAUGUAGCUCCAACUGGCCACAAACUUGAUAUUCUUCUGCUUCAGCCUCUCAAAUGCUUUGGAUUACAGGCUUGUGCUACCAUGCCUGAUGCUACUUAUUUUA
rnacentral:lncRNA from 1 species